GUGCUCACUUUGACAGCAUAUACACUAAAACUGGAACAAUACAGAAAAGAUUAGCAUGGUCCCUGAAUUAGGAUGACGUGCCAAUUAAUGAAGCAUUCCAUAAUAAA
ensembl:snRNA U6 U6 spliceosomal RNA